rnacentral:lncRNA from 1 species
UCACAUUUAUAUUACAUUAUUUGCAAUACAUCCUUAGUUUCAACCCCAUUUGGUCACCGAAAACUGUACCGAAUUGUAAUCUUUAUCAGAUAGCUGUCGGAUUUUAUUUCUCACUCUACGGGUGUCAGAAAAAUACGAAACUUUAUAUCUAGCCUCAUUAAAAUAUUUCUGACAUUCCCGCCAAUUUUCAUAAUUUCCUGAGACUGUGCAUUUUCUGCUAAUUCAUCUGCCUCGUCUCUCACAGAAAAUUCUAAAUCUUCUGUUUUCGCUCCGAUUUCAGCACAGGUCAUUCCCAACCUAUAUUUCACCUCUCUAAAUUCCAUAAAAUAGUAUCUCAUACUAUUUUAUUUAUUUUCACUUUUAUAUUUAAAAUCCGGUAUGUUAAAUUCCACCGUAACCUCACGAGAACCAUUUAAAUAUACACCGUAACUUCAUAGUUUUAGAAGUCUGGUACCUUACAAUAUCGGACCCUUU